AUGUUAAUCAUUGUGGCAAAAUACCUUGUUUGUCUCAGUAGGUUCAGUCCUUUCUAGCCUUGGAGACUCAGUUUAGGGGCAAGGCAAAUCCUUAUAGGUGGCACAGGGCCCUGCUACUCCUCUCCUCAGUCAGUCCCUUGUGCAUG